AUUUCAUAAGUAAAGCAACAAGCUUAAUUUACACACAUUUCAAUCCCUUCAAUCAGUUACUAACAUGUUUUUUGCAAUUGUUUAAAGUAAGCAUAAUGAUUUAUUUUUUAAAUAAACAGUUAUUAAUAUACCAUAUUUGAUUUGGGAUUUGAGAAAAUAAUGUUGGUUUAUUCAUUGCGAACAUUAGAAAAUAUAGCAAAGAAAAAACAAUUAUAAACAUCGUUAAUUAUUUUCCAUUUCUAUGUUCUAUAGAUAUGCUGAAUGAUACAGAAGACCUGGUUUUGGUCCAUUGGACGAAAACCGGAAAAAAGAAUGUGGUGGCUGUUCAAGAUUUAGAGGAGAUAGACGGAGUCUGGGUUGGGUCAAGAUGUACAAUGAAGUGGGGACGGCAAAGCUGGAAGGGUACCAUUCUGGCUGUUGAUGACUGGAGAGAGGCUGAGCCAGAGAAAGAGAAUGACUACAGCGAUAGUGAUGAUGACAAAUGCCUUUAGCUGUCCUUGCUAAAAGAUCUGUGGCGCGAUUUUCUACUAAAUUGUGGUCAUCCAUCGUGUUUCGUUGAAGUAUGGGCAGCAUGUGUUCGUUACCAUACAGCUUUGUGUCAUGGGCAUUGGAUGGGAAUGACCCAUGUGGCUCACAUUCAUACUUUAGUGAAACGGUACCUAUCCCAGAGCAACACAAUGACGAGAAGAUCAUCUAUCAUUGUAUGCAGACCAUCAAGGACUGGGACUGCAUGUGACAGUCAACGAAGACAUCGAGGGAAGUAUGCAGAGCAUUGACAACGACUGUGCAGCGCAGACGGUCAACAAAGACACCGAUGAAAGUAUGCAGACCACUGAUGACGUCAGUUUAAUCCUAUGUUAACUGGGGGGGGGGGUCAAUUUGAC